UAUGCAUGAGGUAAGAGAAGUAUUUUCUCAAUCAUUGGCUCUUGGGGAGAUUUCCAAAAUCAUCUGGAACAGAGCUGAGUGUGAAUGCACAGAAGACACAAUGGGAAGGAAGGAAAGGAAGGAAGGGAAGGAAAGAAAGGAAGGAAGGAAGGGAAGGAAAGAAAGGAAGGGAGGAAGGAAGGGAAGGAAAGAAAGGAAGGGAGGAAGGCUUGUUUUAUGAACAAUCACGUCACUGGAUCCACACAAUCUCAAACGUUCUGCAGUCUGCAUUGUCACUGUGACCACGCGGGCCUAGUUGGCCACAUUCCAUGUACACAUCAGUUACCAGGCAGUGCUACCAAGUAGCAUUUUUCCCCUACUACCCAGAAGUGUUCAGGUUUUUAAGCUUUCCUUUUCACUGCUCAGAUUCCCAGAAAUUUACCACCAAACUGUAUCACAAGCACUAAGUUUUCAAGUUAUUGUUUGAAUAGAUUAGAAAGCAUCAAAAAUUAAGUCAUGUACUAUGUGUUUUUAUGUGGAAAUUCAGAAAGCUACAAGAUCCCAAGACUGACUCUGUAGGGAAACCACAGAAUCUCCUCAUAGGGCAGAUGAGCAAAGUGAAUGCCAACAAGCUGUAAAACAAGAUUACGCAGAGCCAUCUGUUCAGACACUGAGCCUGUUGAGAAGUCUCAUCCCACACAGACUGCUGGUCUGACAGGGGCCAGAAUCUACUCGUAACAGUUUCAGGUUCGGUUGGAAACGCACGCAGAGACAUCCGGCAGACUCCCGCAAACUCUCAGAAGGAGAGGGCGGAUGGCUGCACAUCACCAGCCCAGCCCGGCCUCGCCACAACAUGGAGCCGUUCAAACUCACUAGCCUUGUAAAUAGACGGCGUCUUUCUUCAGCUCAGCCUUCCUUCCGCGGCAGCCGGGCGGUCGGGAGCUGAGCUGUCCCUCCCUUCGGGGGCCAAGGAACCCUUUUAA